rnacentral:rRNA from 1 species
CUGUUUAACAAAAACAUUUCUUCUUAAUAAAUUAAGAAGUAAGCCCUGUUCCAUGAAUAUUAAAUAACCGCAAGAUUUAAUUGUGCAAAGGUAGCAUAAUAAUUUUCUUCUUAAUUGGAAGGUUGGAUGAAUGGGUAAACAAGAUAUUAACUGUGUCUAUGUAAAUUUAAAAUUUUAAAUAAAGGUAAAAAUGCUUUUUAAAUUUAAAGGGACGACAAGACCCUGGGAACUUAUUAUAUAUAAAAAACUUUUUCAAAUAUUUUAACUGGGGCGGUUAUUAUUAAAAACAAAAUUCAAAUAAACAUAUGUUUGGAUUUUUUGAUGGUAAUUUAAAUAAAAAGAAAUAAAGUUACCCCAGGGAUAACAGCGUAAUAAUUUUAGAGAGCUCAUAUCUAAGAAAUCUGUUGCGACCUCGAUGUUGAAUUAAAUAUACCGUUUGGAGUAGAAAAUAAACAAGGUGAGUUUGUUCAACUCUUAAAUAUUUACAUGAUCUGAGUUCAGACCGG